CCCGGACGGGACCAGACUAAACAAAAGAAUGGUAACUAGCAUAAAAGCUAUAACCGAAAACGCUACAAAGGCUAUGUAUAGCCUGCUGAAAAAAGCAAGAAAUUUGAAUUU